ACGAACGCUGGCGGCAUGCCUAACACAUGCCAGUCGAACGAGACCUUCGGGUCUAGUGGCGCACGGGUGCGUAACGCGUGGGAACCUGCCCUUAGGUUCGGAAUAACUCCCCGAAAGGGGUGCUAAUACCGGAUAAUGUCUUCGGACCAAAGAUUUAUCGCCUUUGGAUGGGCCCGCGUUGGAUUAGCUAGUUGGUAGGGUAAAAGCCUACCAAGGCGACGAUCCAUAGCUGGUCUGAGAGGAUGAUCAGCCACACUGGGACUGAGACACGGCCCAGACUCCUACGGGAGGCAGCAGUGGGGAAUAUUGGACAAUGGGCGAAAGCCUGAUCCAGCAAUGCCGCGUGAGUGAUGAAGGCCUUAGGGUUGUAAAGCUCUUUUACCCGGGAUGAUAAUGACAGUACCGGGAGAAUAAGCUCCGGCUAACUCCGUA
rnacentral:rRNA from 1 species